rnacentral:rRNA from 1 species
GAUUAGUGAAAGUGGCAGAGAUGUCAUGUCCGCAAGGGCGCUAUACAGGUGGUGCAUGGUUGUCGUCAGCUCGUGUCGUGAGAUGUUGGGUUAAGUCCCGCAACGAGCGCAACCCUCGUUCUGUGUUACCAGCAUUUAGUUGGGGACUCACAGGAGACUGCCGGGGUCAACUCGGAGGAAGGUGGGGAUGACGUCAAAUCAUCAUGCCCCUUAUGUCUUGGGCUGCACGCAUGCUACAAUGGCCGGUACAAAGUGCUGCGAGAUCGCAAGAUUGAGCGAAUCACAUAAAGCCGGUCUCAGUUCGGAUUGAGGUCUGCAACUCGACCUCAUGAAGUCGGAGUUGCUAGUAAUCGUAGAUCAGCAACGCUACGGUGAAUACGUUCCCGGGUCUUGUACACACCGA